GUACUCACUUCAGCAUCACAUAUACUAAACUUGGACAGAUACAGAGAAGAUUAGCAUGGCCCCUGCCCAAGGAUGACAUGCAAAUUCGUGAAGCACUCCAUAUUUAA
ensembl:snRNA U6 U6 spliceosomal RNA